GGGCGCAGAUGUUCACCUGCGAACACCAACCCUCCCAGCAGGGCCCGCGCGAACAAAGACACACAGCCAGGAAACUGGCACCCUCGCGGGGCUCAAGAACGAACGCCGCCGCCGCCGCCGCCGCGCUCUCGCGCUCUGCCUAGUGCUGCGACAGUGAAGCUGUUUGUUAAACGGAGAGAAGUACCCAGACAUACUUUAGGCAUGUAUGCGGAUACUGACCUGGACUUGUGCCUGGACUAGAGGUGGGAGCCUCAAAAAUGUCUACAAAAGGGAAAAAGGAAAGAAAGAAUAAAAAGAAACACACAUUUUGGAUAUUAAUCACAUGUGAAAAAACAAGCCAACCCUAACAAAUCGCGGGAUCUCAAGGGCUUUUGACUGGCAAACUGAGUGCAUGCUCGGGAUUCCCUGUAUCCGGCCUAAUUCCUGACCUUUUACAUUGGGAUGGGACUUCUUUUAUAAAGAUUUUAACUUGUA